UUGGUCAUAUAAAACGGCGGCCUUCCGAUGACCUAGUUAGGAAAAUAGAGGAUACAAUGGAGAAAAAAAAAUUCAUGUAGCUGACCUCAGGUUGUGGGUCAAAGACUUGAUGUUGUUGUCGUUGUGUUGUUGAUCAUAUUGAUAGUUAGCAAGCAUAUUUUAACUGUGAUGGAAAGAUGCUGCUGCUGAAUGGAUAGAAUUUGUAAAGAAAAAUGACUCUUCGAUAUUUAAUGUAAGCCUCCUUCACGUGGUCCAGAAGUUUUUAGUUCACUUUAAUUUUUUUUUUCUUCUGAAUAUCAAAAUUGUUUAUGGGUAUAAAUAAUAAAUUAGAUUGCAUUAGUUCUACAUGGUAAAAUUUUGAGUGCUUUGUUUGUACACACACAUGAUAGGAUAAUAUAAUGGCAAGUAUUACUACCAGUAUUAUCUAAUUGAUGCAAAUGCA